rnacentral:tRNA from 1 species
GACCUUGUGGUGCAAUGGAAGCGCGUCGGUUUCCGGAGCCGAAAGUCGCGGGUUCAAGUCCCACCGGGGUUA